UACGAAGGGGGCUAGCGUUGCUCGGAAUCACUGGGCGUAAAGCGCACGUAGGCGGAUUGCUAAGUCAGGGGUGAAAUCCUGGAGCUCAACUCCAGAACUGCCUUUGAUACUGGCGAUCUUGAGUCCGGGAGAGGUGAGUGGAACUGCGAGUGUAGAGGUGAAAUUCGUAGAUAUUCGCAAGAACACCAGUGGCGAAGGCGGCUCACUGGCCCGGUACUGACGCUGAGGUGCGAAAGCUGGGGGAGCAAACAGG
rnacentral:rRNA from 1 species